AAUAGAGUUAGAGGUUGCAUUAUUAAUGACUAACUUAUCAGAAGUCGUAUGGGACAUGUGUUGAAUAAGUGAAAGGUAAUAAUGCCGAAAUGAUGUUAUUUCCAUAAAUUAGCAUUGUGAAGUUGGUUGAACAAUAAAAACAUCACAACCACGAAUGCUUUCUUCAAUAUUUAUUUGAAUU
rnacentral:ncRNA from 1 species